UUUCCGUAGGUGAACCUGCGGAAGGAUCAUUAUUGGAUUUUGAAACUUCAGGCUGCUGCUGGCUCUCCUCGGAGGGCAUGUGCACGCUUGUAGUCCAUUAUUUCUCCCACUGUGCACAAAUUGUAGACCUUUCAGUAGGCCUAUGUUGUUUUUCACAAUCUCUGAAUGUAAUAGAAUGGUUUUGAAUCUUGGGAAAUACAAUACAACUUUCAGCGACGGAUCUCUUGGCUCUC
rnacentral:misc_RNA from 1 species